rnacentral:rRNA from 1 species
AUUGAACGCUGGCGGCAUGCCUUACACAUGCAAGUCGAACGGCAGCACGGGAGCUUGCUCCUGGUGGCGAGUGGCGAACGGGUGAGUAAUACAUCGGAACGUACCCAGUAGUGGGGGAUAACGCACCGAAAGGUGCGCUAAUACCGCAUACGACCUAAGGGUGAAAGCGGGGGACCGCAAGGCCUCGCCCUAUUGGAGCGGCCGAUUGCUGAUUAGCUAGUUGGCGGGGUAAAGGCCCACCAAGGCGACGAUCAGUAGCUGGUCUGAGAGGACGAUCAGCCACACUGGGACUGAGACACGGCCCAGACUCCUACGGGAGGCAGCAGUGGGGAAUUUUGGACAAUGGGGGCAACCCUGAUCCAGCAAUGCCGCGUGUGCGAAGAAGGCCUUCGGGUUGUAAAGCACUUUUGUCAGGGAAGAAAUCUUUCAGGCUAAUACCCUUGGAAGGAUGACGGUACCUGAAGAAUAAGCACCGGCUAACUACGUGCCAGCCGCCGCCGUAA